AUGGAUACAAUGUAUCAUGUAUGCAUCUUUGCAUACGGACAAACAGGAACUGGGAAAACCUUCACCAUGGAAGGGACUGAGAGGAACAGAGGAGUAAACUAUAGAACUCUCGAGGAGUUGUUCAAGAUUGCUGAGGAGAGAAAAGACACUGUCACGUACAACAUAUCUGUUAGUGUGCUUGAGGUGUACAAUGAACAAAUCAGAGACCUUCUUGCAACAUCCCCUUCAUCUAAGAAGUUGGAGAUCAAACAAGCAGGUGAAGGAUCCCAUCAUGUGCCCGGCAUAGUUGAGGCCAAAGUUGAGGACAUAAAUGAAGUUUGGGAUGUCUUACAAACUGGAAGCAAUUCGAGGGCUGUAGGGUCAAACAAUGUGAAUGAACACAGCAGUCGCUCACACUGCAUGCUUUGUAUCAUGGUUAGAGCAAAGAACCUGAUAAAUGGGGACUGUACAAGAAGUAAGCUUUGGUUAGUUGAUCUUGCUGGAAGCGAGCGGUUAGCCAAGACAGACGCGCAAGGUGAUCGGCUCAAGGAAGCACAAAAUAUCAACAGGUCGCUUUCUGCUUUAGGGGAUGUCAUUUCUGCUCUUGCUUCCAGAAGCAGCCACAUUCCUUACAGGAAUUCCAAGCUGACGCACUUGCUCCAAGACUCUUUAGGAGGGGAUUCGAAAGCCCUAAUGUUUGUGCAAAUUAGCCCAUCCGACAGUGAUGUGUCGGAAACCUUGAGUUCGUUGAACUUUGCAAGCCGUGUCCGUGGUAUAGAACUGGGCCCAGCAAAGAAGCAGGUGGACACAGCCGAGCUUCAAAAGGUCAAACAGAUGCUUGAAAGGUCUAAGCAGGAAGCCAAGCUUAAGGAGGAAUCUUUGAGAAAGCUGGAAGAGAACUGUCAAAAUUUAGAGAUUAAAGCCAAGGGAAAAGAGCAGCUUUACAAAAACUUGCAAGACAAGACUUUCUGUAAUAACUUGAAGGUGAAGGAGCUUGAAAGCCAACUAGACUCUAAGACGCAUUCUCAAAUUACGUCGGAAAAGCAGCAGUCAGCUUUCUGGAAAACUUAA
rnacentral:rRNA from 1 species